rnacentral:rRNA from 1 species
AUUGAACGCUGGCGGCAUGCCUUACACAUGCAAGUCGAACGGUAACGGGCCUUCGGGUGCCGACGAGUGGCGAACGGGUGAGUAAUGUAUCGGAACGAGCCUUUCAGUGGGGGAUAACGUAGCGAAAGUUACGCUAAUACCGCAUAUUCUGUGAGCAGGAAAGCAGGGGAUCGCAAGACCUUGCGCUGAUUGAGCGGCCGAUAUCAGAUUAGCUAGUUGGUGAGGGAAAGGCUCACCAAGGCGACGAUCUGUAGCGGGUCUGAGAGGAUGAUCCGCCACACUGGAACUGAGACACGGUCCAGACUCCUACGGGAGGCAGCAGUGGGGAAUUUUGGACAAUGGGGGCAACCCUGAUCCAGCCAUGCCGCGUGAGUGAAGAAGGCCUUCGGGUUGUAAAGCUCUUUCGGCCGGGAAGAAAUCGUAUCAGCUAAUACCUGGUGCGGAUGACGGUACCGGCAUAAGAAGCACCGGCUAACUACGUGCCAGCCGCCGCAGUAAAAC